rnacentral:rRNA from 1 species
GACGAACGCUGGCGGCGUGCUUAAUACAUGCAAGUCGAGCGGACGGACGAGAAGUUUGCGUCUUUGACGUUAGCGGCGGACGGGUGAGAAACACGUGUAACACGCACCUAUAAGACUGAUAUAACUACGGGAAACCGGAGCUUACACCGGAUGAUCUUCUGAACCGCAGGGUGCAAAAGUGAAAGUCGGCCUUGCGGGCACUUAUAGAGGCAUCUCCGCUGCAUUAGCUAGUUGUUAAGGUAACGGGUUACCAAGGCUACGAUGCGUAGCCGAACUCAGAGGGUGGUCGGCCGCACUGGAGCGGGGACGCGGUCCUGGCUCCUACGGGAGGCAGCAGUAGGGUAUCUUCGGCAGUGGGCGGAAGCCUGACACAGCAGCGCGAAGUGAGUGGUGGAGGUCUUCGGAUCGUAAAGAUCUCUUAUUGGGGGUGAACAGCUGUGUAAGUUGCCGUGGACAGAUUGACGGUACCUAAUCAGAAAGCCACGGCUAACUACGUG